GGCGAACGGGUGAGUAACACGUGGGCAAUCUGCCCUUCACUCUGGGACAAGCCCUGGAAACGGGGUCUAAUACCGGAUAUGAGCCCGGGAGGCAUCUCCUGGGUUGUAAAGCUCCGGCGGUGAAGGAUGAGCCCGCGGCCUAUCAGCUUGUUGGUGAGGUAACGGCUCACCAAGGCGACGACGGGUAGCCGGCCUGAGAGGGCGACCGGCCACACUGGGACUGAGACACGGCCCAGACUCCUACGGGAGGCAGCAGUGGGGAAUAUUGCACAAUGGGCGCAAGCCUGAUGCAGCGACGCCGCGUGAGGGAUGACGGCCUUCGGGUUGUAAACCUCUUUCAGCAGGGAAGAAGCGCAAGUGACGGUACCUGCAGAAGAAGCGCCGGCUAACUACGUGCCAGCAGCCGCGGUAAUACGUAGGGCGCAAGCGUUGUCCGGAAUUAUUGGGCGUAAAGAGCUCGUAGGCGGCUUGUCACGUCGGGUGUGAAAGCCCGGGGCUUA
rnacentral:rRNA from 1 species